UACGUAGGUCCCGAGCGUUGUCCGGAAUUACUGGGUGUAAAGGGUGCGCAGGCGGUCUUGUGCGUCAGAAGUGAAAUAUCACGGCUUAACCGUGAGGGUGCUUUUGAUACGGCAAGACUUGAGUACGGGAGAGGAUGAUGGAAUUCCUGGUGUAGCAGUGAAAUGCGUAGAUAUCAGGAGGAACACCGGUGGCGAAGGCGGUCGAUCUGGCCCGGUACUGACGCUCGAGGCACGAAAGUGUGGGUAGCAAACAGG
rnacentral:rRNA from 1 species